CAUUGUAUGUUGGGUGUGUGAGCGCCAGAAAACCUGUCUCUUUAGUCCACACUUCUUCAGAUCAAGCUGCACCCAAGAGACCUCAGUUGCAUCUGGACCUGAUUUGGAUGGUGUGAUUCUGUACCUGAUGCUGUAGUGGGAUAAGACCUUGGGAGCUUUGGAGAGGUCAUCACGAUGUCCUUCCAAGCCAAAAAUCCUGUGAGAUCCUUCCUCCGGAAUAAGAGGCCAUGUCUCCAGCAAGCUUUUCAACAAGAUUUUAACUCUUCCAUGCAGCUGGCAAAAACAUUGAACCAGCAAAUUGAAAACACACAGUGGCAAGGUACGACUGUGGACAAUGCCACUAUUGAGAUGGUUUCCGUGAUUCAAUGGGAGUGAUGGGAUUCUGGAGCAGCAGGGGCCAAG